AACCAGGUAGCUCAGUCGGUAGAGCAGAGGACUGAAAAUCCUCGUGUCGGUGGUUCAAUUCUUCCCCUGGGAACCA
rnacentral:tRNA from 1 species